rnacentral:rRNA from 1 species
CCUACGGGGGGCAGCAGUGAGGAAUAUUGGUCAAUGGGCGUGAGCCUGAACCAGCCAAGUCGCGUGAGGGAAUACGGCCCUAUGGGUUGUAAACCUCUUUUGUCAGGGAGCAAACGUGCCUACGUGUAGACGAAUCGAGAGUACCUGGAGAAAAAGCAUCGGCUAACUCCGUGCCAGCAGCCGCGGUAAUACGGAGGAUGCGAGCGUUAUCCGGAUUUAUUGGGUUUAAAGGGUGCGUAGGCGGACUGCCAAGUCAGCGGUAAAAUUUCGGGGCUCAACCCCGUCGUGCCGUUGAAACUGGCGUCCUUGAGUGAGCGAGAAGUAAGCGGAAUGCGUGGUGUAGCGGUGAAAUGCAUAGAUAUCACGCAGAACGCCGAUUGCGAAGGCAGCAUACCGGCGCUCAACUGACGCUGAGGCACGAAAGUGUGGGUAUCGAACAGGAUUAGAUACCCUUGUAGUC